GAGGGUAUAGCUCAACAGUAGAGCAUGUGCUUAGCAUGCAUGAGGUCCUGGGUUCAGUCUCAGUGCCUCCG
rnacentral:tRNA from 1 species